rnacentral:lncRNA from 1 species
UUGGCUAACAUAAUAGAUGAGAAUCACGAGGAACACAAAUCAUUUAGGCUUUGGAGACAAAUAUGUGUGUGACAGGUACGUUAAUAAUUUCACCUUUAUUGUUCAUGGCUACGAUUAAGUUCACCCAUUUUGUACCUAAAUCAUUUGUUAUCUUGUUUUUAUUCUUCUUCUUUUUUUUUUGUUUUUUUCUUUUUCCGAUGUGACAAACUUAUAGGUAGAAUAAGCUCAAUGCCUUUACAUUUCAUUCUUUACCUACACAUUAAAAAUAUACAAACAAUUCACCUUUAUUUUUUAUGGUAUACAAAAACUGAAAAAUAUAGUAGUCUUUAUUUUGCU